AUUCUUAAAAGUAAUGAUUUCUCAUUAAGGCUCUUGCACCUGCUUGUGAAGAAAAGACAUCCGACCUUUAAAAAAUAUUCCAUGGGUCUGAAUCAUCUAAGUAUAUUGUAGUUUUAUUCUUGCAGACAAGGGAAACCAAGAAUGAUCUGGAUAAUGGAGAAACCUGUUAAUACAACUGGAUUUGAAUCACAUUACCGGCUGAAAUUCACACAACCGGAUUGGGAUCCCACUGUGUAAUUUUAGGAUGCUCAAGCAUCAUGGCAUCAUUUCCAGUGGAGUCGCUGAACUUGUAGGUUGUCUACCUGACACCUCGAGGUCCUUACUCACCAAGAAGUCAGCUAUGAAGCCCGCUGAGUCCUGGGGUGGAUGUCUGCCACCACAUACAUAGCCUUUGCUCGUGGCUUGGAGAGCUGGCAGGUCAGCCACAGAAAGUGGGCAAGACCUAGUCAGUAGCGACAGGAUAUGUUCCCAGGAUGGACAGCUGCCUGAUAUGCAUUCACUUCCAGUGCCAAAGCCAAGGGCUGCAAGUGCCCUUCCUUCAUGCUAAGCACUUCUCUCUCUCCAGG
rnacentral:lncRNA from 1 species